UGCCUGAAGCAGGGAUAGCUCAGUCAGUAGAGCAUGAGACUCUUAAUCUCAGGGUUGUAGGUUUGAGCCUCACGUUGGCAA